UGAGGGUGACACUCCCGUCCGCCUGGCAGAGUGAGUCAUUUGUCAACGAGUCGAGUUGUUUGGGAUUGCAGCUCUAAUUUGGUGGUAAAUUCCAUCUAAAGCUAAAUAUUGGUGGGAGACCGAUAGCGUACAAGUACCGUGAGGGAAAGAUGCAAAGAACUUUGAAAAGAGAGUUAAAGAGUACCUGAAACUGCCGAAACGGAAGCGAAGGAAACCAGUGUUUGUUUGUUCAUAUUUCCCUGGCCACUUGUGGUUUGGGCGCUGUGGGCUUGCGUGGGUUUACUUUGGUUGAUCCCUUUGGAAGAGCGCAGUCAGAGUUGAUGUCU
rnacentral:rRNA from 1 species